rnacentral:rRNA from 1 species
AUUGAACGCUGGCGGCAGGCCUAACACAUGCAAGUCGAGCGGAUGAGGAAAGCUUGCUUUUCGAUUCAGCGGCGGACGGGUGAGUAAUGCCUAGGAAUCUGCCUGUUAGUGGGGGAUAACUCGGGGAAACUCGGGCUAAUACCGCAUACGUCCUACGGGAGAAUGUGGGGGAUCUUCGGACCUCACGCUAACAGGAGGGCCUAGGUCGGAUUAGCUAGUAGGUGAGGUAAUGGCUCGUCUAGGCGACGAUCCGUAACUGGUCUGAGAGGAUGAUCAGUCACACUGGAACUGAGACACGGUCCAGACUCCUACGGGAGGCAGCAGUGGGGAAUAUUGGACAAUGGGCGAAAGCCUGAUCCAGCCAUGCCGCGUGUGUGAAGAAGGUCUUCGGAUUGUAAAGCACUUUAAGUUGGGAGGAAGGGUAUUCAUCUAAUACGUGGGUACUUUGACGUUACCAACAGAAUAAGCACCGGCUAACUCUGUGCCAGCCGCCGCCGUAAUAC